AACUAUUGGAAACGAUAGCUAAUACCGCAUAAUAGUAGGUGUUGCAUGACAUUUGCUUAAAAGGUGCAAUUGCAUCACUACCAGAUGGACCUGCGUUGUAUUAGCUAGUUGGUGAGGUAACGGCUCACCAAGGCAACGAUACAUAGCCGACCUGAGAGGGUGAUCGGCCACACUGGGAAUGAGACACGGCCCAGACUCCUACGGGAGGCAGCAGUAGGGAAUCUUCGGCAAUGGACGGAAGUCUGACCGAGCAACGCCGCGUGAGUGAAGAAGGUUUUCGGAUCGUAAAGCUCUGUUGUAAGAGAAGAACGAGUGUGAGAGUGGAAAGUUCACACUGAGACGGAUCUUCCCA
rnacentral:rRNA from 1 species